GUAGGUGGCAAGCGUUGUCCGGAAUUAUUGGGCGUAAAGCGCGCGCAGGCGGUUCUUUAAGUCUGAUGUGAAAGCCCACGGCUCAACCGUGAGGUCAUUGGAAACUGGAGAACUUGAGUACAGAAGAGGAAAGCGGAAUUCCACGUGUAGCGGUGAAAUGCGUAGAGAUGUGGAGGAACACCAGUGGCGAAGGCGGCUUUCUGGUCUGUAACUGACGCUGAGGCGCGAAAGCGUGGGGAGCAAACAGGAUUAGAUACCCUGGUAGUCCACGCCGUAAACGAUGAGUGCUAAGUGUUACGGGGGUUUCCGCCCCUUAGUGCUGCAGCUAACGCAUUAAGCACUCCGCCUGGGGAGUACGGCCGCAAGGCUG
rnacentral:rRNA from 1 species